GUGGGGAAUAUUGGACAAUGGGCGAAAGCCUGAUCCAGCCAUGCCGCGUGUGUGAAGAAGGUCUUCGGAUUGUAAAGCACUUUAAGUUGGGAGGAAGGGCAGUAAGUUAAUACCUUGCUGUUUUGACGUUACCGACAGAAUAAGCACCGGCUAACUUCGUGCCAGCAGCCGCGGUAAUACGAAGGGUGCAAGCGUUAAUCGGAAUUACUGGGCGUAAAGCGCGCGUAGGUGGUUUUGUAAGUUGGAGGUGAAAGCCCCGGGCUCAACCUGGGAACUGCCUCCAAAACUGCAUGACUAGAGUACGUUAGAGGGUAGUGGAAUUUCCUGUGUAGCGGUGAAAUGCGUAGAUAUAGGAAGGAACACCAGUGGCGAAGGCGACUACCUGGACUGAUACUGACACUGAGGUGCGAAAGCGUGGGGAGCAAACAGGAUUAGAAACCCUAGUAGUCC
rnacentral:rRNA from 1 species